rnacentral:tRNA from 1 species
GGAGAAGUACCCAAGCGGCUGAAGGGGACGGUUUGCUAAACCGUUAGUAGGGGUAACCCUAGCGUGAGUUCAAAUCUCAUCUUCUCCGCCA